CACAAAUUAAAAGCCAGUAAAUAACUCCUUAGAGAGAAACGCAAACAGGGGGUCAUUUCUAAUACUGUUGGCCUUCUUUUGUUCACUCCCUUCUCAUCUCCGUCAGGUUUCAUGGACUUGCCUGAAUUUCUUGUCGCACUGCUGCUGCUGCUCUCUCUUCUGGCCUAUGAAUCCUGUGUGGGCAGAGCAUCAGAUGAUGAAGAUUUCUUCAAGAAUUGCUCAUCGCAUCGGUGCAGCAAACAAGCUCCAGAGAUCCGGUUCCCUUUCCGGCUUUCAACCAACCCUCCAUCAUGCGGCGCACCUGGCAUGCAGUUAUCAUGCUCUGGGCAGGACACAAUCCUGGAUCACCAUGUUCUUGGCUCCUGCAGAGUUACUGAGAUCUAUUACAGGCACCGUGUCAUCAACGUCAUCCCGCUUGUGAAACCAUCGACACAAUGCCCUCUUCAGAAGCUCAUCUCAACAAACUUAGCAACUGAUGUGUACAACCAACCUCAAUCAUCACAAG
rnacentral:rRNA from 1 species